rnacentral:rRNA from 1 species
CUCAGUACACGUGACAACUGCCUGAGGACUGGAAUAAUCCCGGGAAACUGGGGGUAAUUCCAGAUAUGUCAGAACUCCUGGAAUGGGUUCUGGCAGAAAGGCUCCGGCGCCUCAGGAUGGGUCCGCGGCCUAUCAGGGUAGUAGUGGGUGUAACGUACCUACUAGCGUACGACGGGUACGGGUUGUGAGAGCAAGAGCCCGGAGAUGGAUUCUGAGACAUGAAUCCAGGCCCUACGGGGUGCAGCAGGCGCGAAAACUUUACAAUGCGGGCAACCGCGAUAAGGGGACCUCGAGUGCUGGGUUACAAACCUGGCUGUUGGGCUGCCUAAAAAGCAGUCUAUAGCAAGGGCCGGGCAAGACCGGUGCCAGCCGCCGCGGUAACACCGGCGGCUCGAGUGGUAACCGCUAUUAUUGGGUCUAAAGGGUCUGUAGCCGGCCGACUAAGUCUCUUGGGAAAUCUGGCAUCUCAAGUGUCAGGCUGCCAGGGGAUACUGGUCGGCUUGGGACCGGGAGAGGUGAGAGGUACCUCGGGGGUAGGGGUGAAAUCUUGUAAUCCUCGAGGGACCACCAGUGGCGAAGGCGUCUCACCAGAACGGAUCCGACGGCAAGGGACGAAAGCUAGGGGCACGAACCGGAUUAGAUACCCGGGUAGUCCUAGCCGUAAACGAUACUCGCUAGGUGUCGGCCACGGUGCGACCGUGGUCGGUGCCGUAGGGAAGCCGUGAAGCGAGCCACCUGGGA